rnacentral:rRNA from 1 species
GACGGAGGGGGCUAGCGUUGUUCGGAAUUACUGGGCGUAAAGAGUGCGUAGGCGGUUUAGUAAGUUGGAAGUGAAAGCCCGAGGCUUAACCUCGGAACUGCUUUCAAAACUACUAAUCUAGAGUGUAGUAGGGGAUGAUGGAAUUCUUAGUGUAGAGGUGAAAUUCUUAGAUAUUAGGAGGAACACCGGUGGCGAAGGCGGUCAUCUGGGCUACAACUGACGCUGAUGCACGAAAGCGUGGGGAGCAAACAGG